AAGGAUUUAAGUUAAAAAAACUGUCAACCUUCAAAGUUGAAAAUAUAUAAAUUAUUAUUAUAAGCCUUA
rnacentral:tRNA from 1 species